rnacentral:rRNA from 1 species
GAUGAACGCUGGCGGCGUGCUUAACACAUGCAAGUCGAACGGAAAGGCUCCUGCUUGCAGGGGUACUCGAGUGGCGAACGGGUGAGUAACAUGUGGGUGAUCUUCCCUGCACUUCGGGAUAAGCCUGGGAAACUGGGUCUAAUACCGGAUAGGACCACAUUUUGGAUGGUGUGGUGGAAAGUUUUUCGGUGUGGGAUGAGCUCGCUGCCUAUCAGCUUGUUGGUGGGGUAAUGGCCUACCAAGGCGUCGACGGGUAGCCGGCCUGAGAGGGUGUACGGCCAGAUUGGGACUGAGAUACGGCCCAGAGUCGUACAGGAGGGAGCAGUGGGGAAUAUUGCACAAAGGGCGCAAGCCUGAUGGAGCGAGGCCGCGUGGGGGAUGACGGCCUUCGGGUUGUAAAAUCCGUUCGCUAGGGACGAAGCGUUUUUGUGACGGUACCUGGAGAAGAAGCACCGGCUAACUACGUG